UGGAACCGAACAAGUGAAUGGACACGAAUCAGAAUUGACGAAUUAAGUUGGUCAUCUAAAUCUGGAUGCACACCAGAAUCUCAUAAAAGAAGUCCCUUUCCAAACCACCCAACAAAAUUGGCGGGACUUCUCGUCGUGCUUUGUCCUUCGCAGCCGCACGGAUCCCCUCGCUUCACCUUCUUGGGUCUCUCUGUUUCUCCCUUUCUCUGCAUUGCAGCCCAAAGUCCACUCUGUUCGUCCGUUUGAUUUGCAUUUUCCUUUCUUCCGAUCUGUUUUGCAUUUCGUUUCCUGUUCUCUAUGGAUGAUUCUUGCAGUGUGAUGAAGAUUUUUAUAGCUAGGAAACUACAUUUGCGUUGCAUCGUUUUUGUAAGUUCUUUUCCUCUUUCUUGCUCUUAUUAAAUUCGUUGUGAAAGGUAAAUUUCCAGGAAUUUGCUUGUUAAGGCGUCAAGGAAGGUAGUGAAUUUAGGAAUCGUCCUGCCCCAUUUGGUUUCCUCCAUGAACAUGACCCGUGCUAUACAAGCGUUCUUUGCAGUGCAUGUUCCUUUAUUUGCUACGAGGGAAUUUGUGUUAUGUUAAUUGUGCAGUUUUGGAGUGAUUAUGGGCAUUAGGAUCUUUUUGGAUCCUUUUAUUUUGUAGUUCCUACUUUGAUGAUGGUGGAUUUGUGUCAUUACCGUUUGUGAUGUGGAUAUUUUGCAACUUGUUUUUUUUGGCUGGUGUCGUUUUAGUUCUGUAUAUGAUAGUGCUUUUCUCUAUGGUCAUGUUUGCAUAGACGAAACGAAUAUGAGUGUGACACUGCUAUUCCCCCAGUUUCUCUUAUUUUUUCUGUCAAAGUAGCUAUCCCAUCCCGGUUUUCUGCUCCACUUGCACCUCGAAAAACUGCAACGAAUUCCAAUGGUUUUCAUGGCAGAUCCCUUACCUCAUGUCCCAUAGACUGCUACUUGUGUUCCACUAAAUGUUCGGCUACAUUCGUGAAGCUAAGUUUUCUGCUCCACAAGGGUUGAAUGUCAUUUGAUUAGGGGGGCAAGAUGGUAUCCAUUUCUUGGUCAUGUGCAACUAGUUACUGCUGUGUCCUUGGGUUUUGCAUGUUACUAACAUCUUAUUACUUUUAUUCCAAUGUUUAUAGACUUCGAACGCAGCCUUGAUUAUUUUUUGGGUUUACCAUAGACUGCAAUACAAAUUACCUGAGCUGUUGGUUUUGAAUAAGUUUUGUUAAAAUUUGAUUUGUUUACAUGAAAUUCUGUUUUCAGGUUGUCAAUUCAUGCAUAAGGCAUGUAUUUACUGUUAUUUAAUUUGUUCUUGGAUGUGCUGGUUCUUCACUGGAACAUCUAUGGCAUAUCAAAGGACUCAGACCACAUUUACUGUAUUGAAACAUACUUAUUCCAAGAUUCUUUUCAUUUUCUAAUUGAUCGCAAAUCAGAAGGUUGCCUCAACUGGCCACCAUCUUCUGCCAUUGAAGAGGGAAAGAACUUAGAAUGCUAAAAUUUGUGUGUGAUUUCUUUGCUUUUUCCUUUUUGAUUGAAAAGAAAAUUGGAAAAGCAGAACCAGGGAGUGGAGGCACCUUUCUGAGGUCCCUGGUUGUUUUGUUGCGUAAGCUAUUAAGAGUUUAGAUGGACAAAAUUAGCAAGACAUCUGUUCAUCCAUAUUUGCCAUUUUUCUGGUUUAACAUCAUACAGAUGGACAAUCUUCUGAGAUUGCAAAUGUUCUUGUUUUGUAGUUAAGAAAGCUUUUUUUUUUUUUUUUCUGGGGCCUAGUUUCCAUUUCUGCGGUUAAACUUCCAUCCUGAGUUAAGAAGAAUGAAAAUCAAUUUUGUUGGGAAGCUAACGAAGAACAACUUGUGUCACUUCUAGCAACACUGAUUUAUUUUGCUAUUCUUCAACUCAAAUCACAAUUUCUAUAAUGUAUAAAGUCUAUGCAUGGUGAAGUCGUAGUUUGUACAACUCGAAAUGCAUAGAAACUCUAUCAGCAAGUAAAGAGAAAAGACAAGAUGGGCCAGAUUCAGUAUCCUGAUAAAUACUUCGAUGACACUUACGCAUACAGGUUCGGCUUCUUUUACCUUUCUCUGAUUUGCUACAAUAUUAGCUGGCAGUCCGGAUUUGUUCACUCUUUCCACAGUGCCAAUGGAUGGAUCAGAGCCUAUUGAUUUGGUUUCUCUGGUCAAGGGAAUGAUGAAGAGGAUACUCAAGAUCCAUCACCAUGACCACCCAAGAAAUUUCAGAGGACUGAUUCCUGCAAGUAUGUGAAUGGCCAAGAGGAGAAUCCCUUACUAGUGAGCCUCCGCUGUACCCCUGCCCCCAAGGUUGAAGGUUUGGUUCAGGACCUGGGUGACUGGUGUCACUGUUUGCGGUACAGGUGAGUAGUAUCCGUAAGACUCGAAUGGAACCGACAACGUGCUGUUUACACAGGGGUGUGGGAACUUCACAAGCACACAGGGCUGGAGCGAACUUGGCUCCUGGCAGCAGCCCAAAAAGAACCAUUUUCUUGAUCAAUUCUGAUGUCUAUGGAAGACUGCAGGCAGUUCUUUCUGUGCACUCUGUGACUUUUGUAGCUUGCAUCGUAGACGCCAUGUAGAGAUCAAAGGGUGUGGAUCUUUCUGUGAAGCCUUCCUGCACCUUUAAGCAGCUUGGGUUUGGAGGGGACAAGCCACUUUAUCUCUAUCUUUUUGUGAAAGGCCGGAAGAUUUUUCCGUCAAGUUAUAUCUAUACACAAAUACUCAUCCGGAAUUUCA